UACGGAAGGCAGCAGUGGGGAAUAUUGCACAAUGGGCGCAAGCCUGAUGCAGCCAUGCCGCGUGUAUGAAGAAGGCCUUCGGGUUGUAAAGUACUUUCAGUCGUGAGGAAGGUGUUAAGGUUAAUAACCUUAGCAAUUGACGUUAGCGACAGAAGAAGCACCGGCUAACUCCGUGCCAGCAGCCGCGGUAAUACGGAGGGUGCGAGCGUUAAUCGGAAUUACUGGGCGUAAAGGGCACGCAGGCGGUUAAUUAAGUUGGAUGUGAAAUCCCCGGGCUUAACCUGGGAAUGGCAUUCAAGCUGGUUAGCUAGAGUCUUGUAGAGGGGGUAGAAUUCCAUGUGUAGCGGUGAAAUGCGUAGAGAUGUGGAGGAAUACCGGUGGGCGAAGGCGGCCCCUGGGACAAAGACUGACGCUCAUGUGCGAAAGCGUGGGGAGCAAACAGGGAUUAGAUACC
rnacentral:rRNA from 1 species